rnacentral:rRNA from 1 species
UACGAGGGGUGCAAGCGUUGCUCGGAAUUACUGGGCGUAAAGGGCGCGUAGGCGGCCUUCUAAGUCAGACGUGAAAUCCCCCGGCUUAACCUGGGAACUGCGUCUGAUACUGGGAGGCUUGAGUAUGGGAGAGGGAUGUAGAAUUCCAGGUGUAGCGGUGAAAUGCGUAGAUAUCUGGAGGAAUACCGGUGGCGAAGGCGGCAUCCUGGACCAUAACUGACGCUGAGGCGCGAAAGCUAGGGGAGCAAACGGG